rnacentral:rRNA from 1 species
CAAUAGCGUAUAUUAAAGUUGUUGCGGUUAAAAAGCUCGUAGUUGGAUUUCUGCUGAGAACGACCGGUCCGCCCUUUGGGUGUGUAUCUGGCUCUUUCUUGGCAUCUUCUUGGUGAACGUUGCUGCACUUGACUGUGUGGAGCGCUACCCAGGACUUUUACUUUGAGGAAAUUAGAGUGUUUCAAGCAGGCAUACGCCUUGAAUACAUUAGCAUGGAAUAAUAAGAUAGGACCUCGGUUCUAUUUUGUUGGUUUCUAGAGCUGAGGUAAUGAUUAAUAGGGAUAGUUGGGGGCAUUCGUAUUUAACUGUCAGAGGUGAAAUUCUGGGAUUUGUUAAAGACGGACUACUGCGAAAGCAUUUGCCAAGGAUGUUUUCAUUGA